GACGAACGCUGGCGGCGUGCUUAACACAUGCAAGUCGAACGGAAAGGCCCUGCUUUUGUGGGGUGCUCGAGUGGCGAACGGGUGAGUAACACGUGAGUAACCUGCCCUUGACUUUGGGAUAACUUCAGGAAACUGGGGCUAAUACCGGAUAGGAGCUCCUGCUGCAUGGUGGGGGUGGGAAAGUUUCGGCGGUUGGGGAUGGACUCGCGGCUCAUCAGCUUGUUGGUGGGGUAGUGGCUUACCAAGGCUUUGACGGGUAGCCGGGCUGAGAGGGUGACCGGCCACAUUGGGACUGGGAUACGGCCCAGACUCCUCCGGUAGGCAGCAGUGGAGAAUAUUGCACAAUGGGCGGAAGCCUGAUGCAGCAACGCCGCGUGCGGGAUGACGGCCUUCGGGUUGUAAACCGCUUUCGCCUGUGACGAAGCGUGAGUGACGGUAAUGGGUAAAGAAGCACCGGCUAACUACGUG
rnacentral:rRNA from 1 species